rnacentral:rRNA from 1 species
UUUAAAUUGAGAGUUUGAUCCUGGCUCAGGAUGAACGCUGGCGGCGUGCCUAAUACAUGCAAGUCGAACGCUUUGUGGUUCAACUGAUUUGAAGAGCUUGCUCAGAUAUGACGAUGGACAUUGCAAAGAGUGGCGAACGGGUGAGUAACACGUGGGAAACCUACCUCUUAGCAGGGGAUAACAUUUGGAAACAGAUGCUAAUACCGUAUAACAAUGACAACCGCAUGGUUGUUAUUUAAAAGAAUGGUUCUGCUAUCACUAAGAGAUGGUCCCGCGGUGCAUUAGCUAGUUGGUAAGGUAAUGGCUUACCAAGGACGAUGAUGCAUAGCCGAGUUGAGAGACUGAUCGGCCACAAUGGGACUGA